rnacentral:rRNA from 1 species
AUUGAACGCUGGCGGCAGGCCUAACACAUGCAAGUCGAGCGAGCGGCGGACGGGUGAGAAAUGUCUGGGAAACUGCCUGAUGGAGGGGGAUAACUACUGGAAACGGUAGCUAAUACCGCAAACCAUUAUAUGUGCCCAGAUGGGAUUCGCUAGUAGGUGGGGUAACGGCUCACCUAGGCGACGAUCCCUAGCUGGUCUGAGAGGAUGACCAGCCACACUGGAACUGAGACACGGUCCAGACUCCUACGGGAGGCAGCAGUGGGGAAUAUUGCACAAUGGGCGCAAGCCUGAUGCAGCCAUGCCGCGUGUAUGAAGAAGGCCUUCGGGUUGUAAAGUACUUUCAGCGGGGAGGCGUUACCCGCAGAAGAAGCACCGGCUAACUCCGUGCCAGCAGCCGCGGUAAUUC